UGAAAUCAUAAGUGAUGUCAAGCAGUCG
rnacentral:sRNA from 1 species